GUAAGUUCCGACCCGCACGAAAGGCGUAACGAUCUGGAUGGUGUCUCAGAGAGAGACUCGGCGAAAUAGGAAUGUCUGUGAAGAUACGGACUACCUGCACCUGGACAGAAAGACCCUAUGAAGCUUUACUGUAGCCUGGAAUUGGCUCCGGGCUUCGCUUGCGCAGAAUAGGUGGGAGGCAUUGAAGCUGCCCUUGUGGGGGCAGUGGAGCCAACAGUGAGAUACCACUCUGGCGAAGCUAGGAUUCUAACCAGUAGCCGUUAGCCGGCACUGGAACAGUUUCAGGUGGGCAGUUUGACUGGGGCGGUCGCC
rnacentral:rRNA from 15 species